GUACCGGUACAGAGUCAAUGUGGAGGCUAUAUACAGGGGGUACCGGUACAGAGUCAAUGUGGAGACUAUAUACAGGGGGUACCGGUACAGAGUCAAUGUGGAGGCUAUAUACAGGGGGUACCGGUACAGAGUCAAUGUGGAGACUAUAUACAGGGGGUACCGGUACAGAGUCAAUGUGGAGGCUAUAUACAGGGGGUACCGGGACAGAGUCAAUGUGGAGGCUAUAUACAGGGGGAGGUACCGGGACAGAGUCAAUGUGGAGGCUAUAUACAGGGAGGGGGUACCAGGACAGAGUCAAUGUGG
ensembl:lncRNA